GUCACUGUGGUGUAGCGGUUAUCACGCCUGUCUCACACACAGGAGGUCCUCGGUUCGAUCCCGAGCAGUGACA